CCCUACGGGGGGCAGCAGUGGGGGAUAUUGCACAAUGGGGGAAACCCUGAUGCAGCGACGCCGCGUGUGGGAAGACGGUCCUCUGGAUUGUAAACCACUGUCCCCAGGGACGAAGAUGACGGUACCUGGGGAGGAAGCUCCGGCUAACUACGUGCCAGCAGCCGCGGUAAUACGUAGGGGGCAAGCGUUAUCCGGAUUUACUGGGUGUAAAGGGAGCGUAGACGGUUAUGCAAGUCUGAAGUGAAAGCCCAAGGCUCAACCAUGGGACUGCUUUGGAAACUGUAAAACUGGAGUGCAGGAGAGGG
rnacentral:rRNA from 1 species